GGACAAAGAGGCAUUAUCAACAAAGGCUGGGGUUGGUAAUUCAGUACAAUCAAAUGAUUCUGUGUACUUAGUGGACAAUUGCCCCCAUGAUGACUCUUCCUCGGAUGCUCUGUUGUGGUCAGGAACGUUACCAUCGCCUGGCUCCCAUGUAUUACCGCGGUGCAACUGCAGCUGUUGGUCUAUGAUAUCACAAGCAUGGAGUCAUUUGUUUUUAGCGAGCUAAGAAGUGGGUUUUUGAAUUGCAAAGACAAGCAAAUCCAACUUUAAUAAUGUUCUUGAUUGGAAACAAGGCCGAGUUGGAAGAGAAGAGAAAAGUAGGGACUGAGAAAAGUAGUCCUCACUUAGGAAGCAGAGAUCUAUCAGGGCAGAAAUGGUUAGGAAGUAGAGACGAUACGUAGUCUGCAGAAGGCAAGCAGAAAACAAGUAGUGAAGUCUUUGACCAUUGCGCAAUAGAUACACUGCUGAUUUCUCAUGGGACAAGUACACUCUUCAUGAAGGACCUUUUGAGGAGGUCGGAGCAACGUGUUGAAACUUUUAUCAAUGAGGGUAGAUUAGUUUAUGCUGCUGUGAACAAACUGUAUUUCAUGGUUUGAGUAUGACUUUCAUCAUUGGGAUAUAUGAUAAUACAUUGGAAGUUAUAUGUCUUUUUAAAUAAUAUCAAACAAUAGAAAGUU